UGAGUUGCGAACGGGUGAGUAACGCGUAGGUAACCUGCCUGGUAGUGGGGGAUAACUAUUGGAAACGAUAGCUAAUACCGCAUAAUAGCAGUUGUUGCAUGACAGCUGUUUGAAAGGUGCAAUUGCACCACUACCAGAUGGACCUGCGUUGUAUUAGCUAGUUGGUGGGGUAACGGCUCACCAAGGCGACGAUACAUAGCCGACCUGAGAGGGUGAUCGGCCACACUGGGACUGAGACACGGCCCAGACUCCUACGGGAGGCAGCAGUAGGGAAUCUUCGGCAAUGGACGGAAGUCUGACCGAGCAACGCCGCGUGAGUGAAGAAGGUUUUCGGAUCGUAAAGCUCUGUUGUAAGAGAAGAACGAGUGUGAGAGUGGAAAGUUCACACUGUGACGGUAUCUUACCAGAAAGGGACGGCUAACUACGUGCCAGCAGCCGCGGUAAUACGUAGGUCCCGAGCGUUGUCCGGAUUUAUUGGGCGUAAAGCGAGCGCAGGCGGUUAGAUAAGUCUGAAGUUAAAGGCUGUGGCUUAACCAUAGUACGCUUUGGAAACUGUUUAACUUGAGUGCAAGAGGGGAGAGUGGAAUUCCAUGUGUAGCGGUGAAAUGCGUAGAUAUAUGGAGGAACACCGGUGGCGAAAGCGGCUCUCUGGCUUGUAACUGACGCUGAGGCUCGAAAGCGUG
rnacentral:rRNA from 1 species